GCCUGGGUGGCUCAGUCAGUUGGGCAUCUGACUUCUACUCAGGUCAUGAUCUCACAGUCGUGGGUUUGAGCCCUGCGUCAGGCU
rnacentral:tRNA from 1 species